rnacentral:rRNA from 1 species
UACAGAGGUCCCAAGCGUUGUUCGGAUUCAUUGGGCGUAAAGGGUGCGUAGGUGGCGCCGUAAGUCGGAUGUGAAAUUUCGGAGCUUAACUCCGAAACUGCAUUCGAUACUGCGGUGCUUGAGGACUGGAGAGGAGACUGGAAUUCAUGGUGUAGCAGUGAAAUGCGUAGAGAUCAUGAGGAAGACCAGUGGCGAAGGCGGGUCUCUGGACAGUUCCUGACACUGAGGCACGAAGGCCAGGGGAGCAAACGGG